rnacentral:rRNA from 1 species
GACGAACGCUGGCGGCGUGCCUAAUACAUGCAAGUCGAACGGUCUUUUCUAUGGAAGCUUGCUUCCACUGAGAAGAUAGUGGCGAACGGGUGAGUAACACGUGGGUAACCUGCCCAUAAGAGGGGGGGUAACAUCAGGAAACGGGUGCUAAUACCGCAUAGUUUUCUUGAUCGCAGGAUCGAGAAAGGAAAGACGGCCUUUGGGCUGUCGCUUAUGGAUGGAACCGCGGCGUAUUAGUUAGUUGGUGAGGUAACGGCUCACCAAGACGAUGAUACGUAGCCGACCUGAGAGGGUGAUCGGCCACAUUGGGACUGAGACACGGCCCAAACUCCUACGGGAGGCAGCAGUAGGGAAUCUUCCGCAAUGGACGAAAGUCUGACGGAGCAACGCCGCGUGAGUGAAGAAGGUUUUCGGAUCGUAAAACUCUGUUGUCAGAGAAGAACAAGUCGGAGAGUAACUGCUCCGGCCUUGACGGUAUCUGACCAGAAAGCCACGGCUAACUACGUGCCAGCAGCCGCCGUAAAAC